CCAACGGCCCUUUUCAGGGCCACCCAUAUUUUACGAAAAGAUGCUU
rfam:Crassostrea gigas strain 05x7-T-G4-1.051#20 contig12909, whole genome shotgun sequence.